rnacentral:lncRNA from 1 species
GACAACGAGCGAAAACUGGGAAAAAUGUCUCUCUAUAAAAAUAAAUUCCAAUAGUCGAAAAUUCGGAGCUUCAAAAAUCGUCGAAUUAAUUGAGGUGUCGCAUUGAGCGAAUCGAAUGUUUUAUCUCACAGUUUUCUCGAGGAUAAAACGAAAUAUUCGGCGACGUUAUCUCAUAUUCCAGAUGAUCUCGCGCGUGGGAUGGACUCAAGGUCGGAAGUUUUCUGCGGUGUACAACCCGUGAUACGUGCGAAUAUUCGGAACGAAACGAGCCGCGCAACGGGACUUUAUUCCAGUGGUCAAUAAUAAAAAAAAAAAAAUAAAAAAAUCUAGAAGGCUAAAAAACGGGGGUAUAUAACGCCCUCUCGUAAGUGGAUGAUUUUUACUCAAGGGCUACAGUGUCGCGUCUCAUCUCACGUUACACCGAGGUGAAACUCGCGUCCCUUUUACAUGCGGAGAAUGGUGGGACCUUAGCGUAAUGUAUAGCGCAAAGAUUAAUCGCACCUUCAAUUAAUAACUUGAAGAUGGCUCCCGAGAUUGUACGCAUUUAAUUAGUUCCAUGAAUCUGUUCGGAAUAAUAUCCAACAUCGCUUCAUCGUCGUAACUAUCAACUUGACAAAAUCAGGCCAUGCACGAUUUUCGAAGUAAAAAUUCGAACUUUUUUUCAAUCCUGAAAUUAAGAUCAAGAUUCGUGAAAUUCUCGUAGGUAAGAGAUGGUAGUAAAAUCGAGCAGAUGUAA